CUUAGCCUUGGGAAAGUCCCAGGAUGAGGAGAUUCAAGUCAUCCACAUGAAAAGUACAAACCGGAACAUCUAAGACGGUGUGAGACAUCACACAUUCAGCGUAAACACAACCGGCACACUGCUUCCCUGAAACGCUUUCAAAGCCAGUGUUACGUCACCAAGGAAUCUGUCGAUUCAUACCCAACAAAGUUCAAAUAUUUCCACUGCCCCACAGAUCUGGAUUAAAUCUGAAUCUUCAAUUCACUGAACAUUUUUCAACCAUCCAGGAACCCAACUCAAAACAAUUUGGGUGUGACUCUGGAACAUAAUGGCAGCAAUUACUCUUCUAAGAUGCACCUGUUGAACUGG